ACGCUCGACACCUACGGGAGGCUGCAGUGGGGAAUAUUGCACAAUGGGGGAAACCCUGAUGCAGCGACGCCGCGUGAGCGAAGAAGUAUCUCGGUAUGUAAAGCUCUAUCAGCAGGGAAGAAAAUGACGGUACCUGACUAAGAAGCACCGGCUAAAUACGUGCCAGCAGCCACGGUAAUCUGAGCGGGCUGGCAAGGC
rnacentral:rRNA from 1 species